rnacentral:rRNA from 1 species
UACGGAGGGUCCAAGCGUUGUCCGGAUUUAUUGGGUUUAAAGGGUACGUAGGCGGGACUUUAAGUCAGUGGUGAAAGCCUCCAGCUCAACUGGAGAAUUGCCAUUGAAACUGAAGUUCUUGAAUAUGGAUGAGGUGGUUGGAAUAUAACAUGUAGCGGUGAAAUGCAUAGAUAUGUUAUAGAACACCAAUUGCGAAGGCAGAUCACUAAACCAUUAUUGACGCUGAGGUACGAAAGCGUGGGGAGCGAAC